UGUAGCUCAAUGGCAGAGUAAUCGCUUGAUAAGCGAUCGGUUGUGGGUCUCUCCUGUCGGAGAGGCUACGCCA
rnacentral:tRNA from 1 species